UCUCUCGUGGUCAUAACAAUGAAGGAUAGGAUUUGUGAUGCUUAGGUAACAAGUCUAGGCAAUGACUUGUGAUCAGUUGUCACGAGUCAUUAGCCAAGCCAUGACGACUAUCCCUUAUUUUUCUUUCCCAUUUUAAUUGAGGUAUUUUUGGUAUUUUCCUUCCUUUACACUUUACCCAUGACUUAAAAACUCUCUAAUGACCCCUUUAACAUCAGUUAUCAAAUCAAAUUCACUACUUUCUCUUCUUUACCUCUUAAGGCAAGAGAAUACUAUGGUUGUACAAGGAAUUCAAUGUUUAAGCUCCAACUUUUGAAUUUCUUUCAAUUUCUUGUGUAUUUC
rnacentral:lncRNA from 1 species